UACGGAGGGGGCUAGCGUUGUUCGGAAUUACUGGGCGUAAAGGAUGCGUAGGCGGACAUUUAAGUCAGAUGUGAAAUACCCGAGCUUAACUUGGGUGCUGCAUUUGAAACUGGGUGUCUAGAGUGCAGGAGAGGUAAGUGGAAUUCCUAGUGUAGCGGUGAAAUGCGUAGAGAUUAGGAAGAACACCAGUGGCGAAGGCGGUCUGCUGGGGUAAUGCUGACACUGAUGCGCGAUAGCGUGGGGAGCAAACAGG
rnacentral:rRNA from 1 species